GAUGAACGCUAGCGGCAGGCUUAAUACAUGCAAGUCGAACGGUAACAGGUGUAGCAAUACGCGCUGACGAGUGGCAGACGGGUGAGUAACACGUACGCAAUUUUCCUAUAUCUGGUGAAUAGCCUCGGGGAAACCGAGAUUAAUACACCAUAGCAUUUUGAAAAGGCAUCUUUUUGAAAUUAAAAGUUUUAACGGUAUAUAGAUGAGCGUGCG
rnacentral:rRNA from 1 species